UGAGCAUGGGGGCCCUGGAGCGUGG
rnacentral:piRNA from 1 species